rnacentral:rRNA from 1 species
GAGCCCGUGAAUCCGGGCGGCAGAAUUCAGAAUCGACGGACGCAAGUUCGUCUAUUUGAUAUUUCUGUCGCCGUACAACCACGGACGUCGCGACCCGUUCGAUGUCGGUCCUCGCCUUCGGGAGGAACCGCGUUCGAGUUCGCCGUCCGAGCGUGCGUUCGCGUGCGUUUCGGUCGGCGAAGGCGCGGAUUUCUGGCCGACUCGUCGGACGGUAUGUCAACGGGGGUGUCCGGCGUCGUGUUUUGAUGGCGCGGCGCCGGUGCCGGUCAGCGACGAAUCUUCGGGUCUCUUUCCGACC